GUGACUGCGUACCUUUUGUAUAAUGGGUCAGCGACUUAUAUUCUGUAGCAAGGUUAACCGUAUAGGGGAGCCGAAGGGAAACCGAGUCUUAACUGGGCGUUAAGUUGCAGGGUAUAGACCCGAAACCCGGUGAUCUAGCCAUGGGCAGGUUGAAGGUUGGGUAACACUAACUGGAGGACCGAACCGACUAAUGUUGAAAAAUUAGCGGAUGACCUGUGGCUGGGGGUGAAAGGCCAAUCAAACCGGGAGAUAGCUGGUUCUCCCCGAAAGCUAUUUAGGUAGCGCCUCGUGAACUCAUCUUCGGGGGUAGAGCACUGUUUCGGCUAGGGGGCCAUCCCGGCUUACCAACCCGAUGCAAACUACGAAUACCGAAGAAUGUUAUCACGGGAGACACACGGCGGGUGCUAACGUCCGUCGUGAAGAGGGAAACAACCCAGACCGCCAGCUAAGGUCCCAAAGUCAUGGUUAAGUGGGAAACGAUGUGGGAAGGCACAGACAGCCAGGAUGUUGGCUUAGAAGCAGCCAUCAUUUAAAGAAAGCGUAAUAGCUCACUGGUCGAGUCGGCCUGCGCGGAAGAUGUAACGGGGCUAAACCAUGCACCGAAGCUGCGGCAGCGACACUAUGUGUUGUUGGGUAGGGGAGCGUUCUGUAAGCCGUUGAAGGUGUGCUGUGAGGCAUGCUGGAGGUAUCAGAAGUGCGAAUGCUGACAUAAGUAACGAUAAAGCGGGUGAAAAGCCCGCUCGCCGGAAGACCAAGGGUUCCUGUCCAACGUUAAUCGGGGCAGGGUGAGUCGACCCCUAAGGCGAGGCCGAAAGGCGUAGUCGAUGGGAAACAGGUUAAUAUUCCUGUACUUGGUGUUACUGCGAAGGGGGGACGGAGAAGGCUAUGUCAGCCGGGCGACGGUUGUCCCGGUUUAAGCAUGUAGGCGGAGGUUCCAGGUAAAUCCGGUACCUUGUUAACGCUGAGGUGUGAUGACGAGGCACUACGGUGCUGAAGUGAUAAAUGCCCUGCUUCCAGGAAAAGCCUCUAAGCAUCAGGUAACACGAAAUCGUACCCCAAACCGACACAGGUGGUCAGGUAGAGAAUACCAAGGCGCUUGAGAGAACUCGGGUGAAGGAACUAGGCAAAAUGGUGCCGUAACUUCGGGAGAAGGCACGCUGAUAUGUAGGUGAAGUCCCUGCGGACGGAGCUGAAAUCAGUCGAAGAUACCAGCUGGCUGCAACUGUUUAUUAAAAACACAGCACUGUGCAAACACGAAAGUGGACGUAUACGGUGUGACGCCUGCCCGGUGCCGGAAGGUUAAUUGAUGGGGUUAGCGGCAACGCGAAGCUCUUGAUCGAAGCCCCGGUAAACGGCGGCCGUAACUAUAACGGUCCUAAGGUAGCGAAAUUCCUUGUCGGGUAAGUUCCGACCUGCACGAAUGGCGUAAUGAUGGCCAGGCUGUCUCCACCCGAGACUCAGUGAAAUUGAACUCGCUGUGAAGAUGCAGUGUACCCGCGGCAAGACGGAAAGACCCCGUGAACCUUUACUAUAGCUUGACACUGAACACUGGUCCUUGAUGUGUAGGAUAGGUGGGAGGCUUUGAAGCGUGGACGCCAGUCUGCGUGGAGCCAUCCUUGAAAUACCACCCUUUAAUGGCUGGUGUUCUAACGUAGACCCGUGAUCCGGGUUGCGGACAGUGUCUGGUGGGUAGUUUGACUGGGGCGGUCUCCUCCCAAAGAGUAACGGAGGAGCACGAAGGUUGGCUAAUCCUGGUCGGACAUCAGGAGGUUAGUGCAAUGGCAUAAGCCAGCUUGACUGCGAGCGUGACGGCGCGAGCAGGUGCGAAAGCAGGUCAUAGUGAUCCGGUGGUUCUGAAUGGAAGGGCCAUCGCUCAACGGAUAAAAGGUACUCCGGGGAUAACAGGCUGAUACCGCCCAAGAGUUCAUAUCGACGGCGGUGUUUGGCACCUCGAUGUCGGCUCAUCACAUCCUGGGGCUGAAGUAGGUCCCAAGGGUAUGGCUGUUCGCCAUUUAAAGUGGUACGCGAGCUGGGUUUAGAACGUCGUGAGACAGUUCGGUCCCUAUCUGCCGUGGGCGCUGGAGAAUUGAGGGGGGCUGCUCCUAGUACGAGAGGACCGGAGUGGACGCAUCACUGGUGUUCGGGUUGUCAUGCCAAUGGCACUGCCCGGUAGCUAAAUGCGGAAGAGAUAAGUGCUGAAAGCAUCUAAGCACGAAACUUGCCCCGAGAUGAGUUCUCCCUGAGACCUUGAGUCUCCUGAAGGAACGUUGAAGACGACGACGUUGAUAGGUCGGGUGUGUAAGCGCAGCGAUGCGUUGAGCUAACCGAUACUAAUGAACCGUGAGGCUUAACCUUACAACGCCGAAGGUGUUU
rnacentral:rRNA from 1 species